rnacentral:lncRNA from 1 species
GAUAAAGAAGCUAGUUGGCGCCAGUGUGUGUCGUAUCUUCCUUAUGUGGUCCGUCUUAGGUGUUUGGGCUGUAAGUCUAAGUUCGGAAUUAUGUACCAACUAGGCCUAAAUGAAAUGUUACUAUAAUAAUCCAGAAGCUGAAUUAUUAGUUAAGACUGAUUAUGUAUUUAGGCAUAAUGCAAAAAGUAAUCGAGCAUGUCCAAGCGACGGCAAACAGCAUUACCUUGCUUCU